rnacentral:tRNA from 1 species
CAGAGUAUAGUUAAUUUAGUAAAACAUCUCACUUACACCGAGAAGAAACCUGUGCAAAUCAGGUUAUUCUGA